rnacentral:rRNA from 1 species
UACGUAGGGUGCGAGCGUUAAUCGGAAUUACUGGGCGUAAAGGGUGCGUAGGUGGUUCGAUAAGUCAGAUGUGAAAUCCCUGGGCUUAACCUGGGAAUUGCAUUUGAUACUGUCAGACUAGAGUGUAGUAGAGGUAAGCGGAAUUCCCGGUGUAGCGGUGAAAUGCGUAGAUAUCGGGAGGAACAUCAGUGGCGAAGGCGGCUUACUGGACUAACACUGACAUUGAGGCACGAAAGCGUGGGUAGCAAACAGG